rnacentral:misc_RNA from 1 species
UACGGAGGAUACAAGCGUUAUCCGGAAUCAUUGGGUUUAAAGGGUCCGUAGGCGGGACGGUAAGUCAGUGGUGAAAGUCUGCAGCUCAACUGUAGAACUGCCAUUGAUACUGUAGACCUUGAGUUAUUAUGAAGUGGUUAGAAUAUGUAGUGUAGCGGUGAAAUGCAUAGAUAUUACAUAGAAUACCGAUUGCGAAGGCAGAUCACUAAUAAUUUACUGACGCUGAUGGACGAAAGCGUAGGUAGCGAACAGG